AUGCAGUCGAGCGAAUGGAUUAAGAGCUUGCUCUUAUGAAGUUAGCGGCGGACGGGUGAGUAACACGUGGGUAACCUGCCCAUAAGACUGGGAUAACUCCGGGAAACCGGGGCUAAUACCGGAUAACAUUUUGAACCGCAUGGUUCGAAAUUGAAAGGCGGCUUCGGCUGUCACUUAUGGAUGGACCCGCGUCGCAUUAGCUAGUUGGUGAGGUAACGGCUCACCAAGGCAACGAUGCGUAGCCGACCUGAGAGGGUGAUCGGCCACACUGGGACUGAGACACGGCCCAGACUCCUACGGGAGGCAGCAGUAGGGAAUCUUCCGCAAUGGACGAAAGUCUGACGGAGCAACGCCGCGUGAGUGAUGAAGGCUUUCGGGUCGUAAAACUCUGUUGUUAGGGAAGAACAAGUGCUAGUUGAAUAAGCUGGCACCUUGACGGUACCUAACCAGAAAGCCACGGCUAACUACGUGCCAGCAGCCGCGGUAAUACGUAGGUGG
rnacentral:rRNA from 1 species